rnacentral:rRNA from 1 species
CACGUAGGCACCAAGCGUUGUCCGGAUUUAUUGGGCGUAAAGAGCUCGUAGGCGGUUCGAUAAGUCGGGUGUGAAAACUUUGGGCUCAACCCAAAGCGUGCAUUCGAUACUGUUGUGACUAGAGUUCGGUAGGGGAGUGGGGAAUUCCUAGUGUAGCGGUGAAAUGCGCAGAUAUUAGGAGGAACACCGGUGGCGAAGGCGGGUCUCUGGGCCGAUACUGACGCUGAGGAGCGAAAGCGUGGGGAGCGAACAGG